UACGAAGGGGGCUAGCGUUGUUCGGAAUUACUGGGCGUAAAGCGCGCGCAGGCGGUCUUCCAAGUCAGUGGUGAAGCCUGGAGCUCAACUCCAGAACUGCCAUUGAAACUGUUAGACUUGAGUACGAGAGAGGUGAGUGGAAUUCCCAGUGUAGAGGUGAAAUUCGUAGAUAUUGGGAAGAACACCAGUGGCGAAGGCGGCUCAACUGGCUCGUAACUGACGCUCAGGCGCGACAGCGUGGGGAUCAAACAGG
rnacentral:rRNA from 1 species